UACGUAGGGGGUAAGCGUUGUCCGGAUUUAUUGGGCGUAAAGAGCGUGUAGGCGGCCUGAAAGGUCAGCUGUGAAAACUCGAGGCUCAACCUCGAGACGUCGGUUGAAACCAUCUGGCUAGAGUCCGGAAGAGGAGAGUGGAAUUCCCGGUGUAGCGGUGAAAUGCGCAGAUAUCGGGAAGAACACCCGUGGCGAAGGCGGCUCUCUGGGACGGUACUGACGCUGAGACGCGAAAGCGUGGGGAGCGAACAGG
rnacentral:rRNA from 1 species